UACGAAGGGGGCUAGCGUUAAUCGGAAUUACUGGGCGUAAAGCGUGCGCAGGCGGUGAUGUAAGACCGAUGUGAAAUCCCCGGGCUUAACCUGGGAACUGCAUUGGUGACUGCAUCGCUCGAGUAUGGCAGAGGGGGGUAGAAUUCCACGUGUAGCAGUGAAAUGCGUAGAGAUGUGGAGGAAUACCGAUGGCGAAGGCAGCCCCCUGGGUCAAUACUGACGCUCAUGCACGAAAGCGUGGGGAGCAAACAGG
rnacentral:rRNA from 1 species